rnacentral:rRNA from 1 species
AUUGAACGCUGGCGGCAGGCCUAACACAUGCAAGUCGAGCGGAGUGGCGGACGGGUGAGUAAUGCCCAGGAAUCUGCCCGGUCGUUGGGGAUAACGUCCGGAAACGGGCGCUAAUACAGCACCCUUUCAGCUGAGCCUUGUCCGGAUUAGUUAGUGGGUGGGGUAAAGGCCUACCAAGGCGACGAUCCGUAACUGGUCUGAGAGGAUGAUCAGUCACACUGGAACUGAGACACGGUCCAGACUCCUACGGGAGGCAGCAGUGGGGAAUAUUGGACAAUGGGCGAAAGCCUGAUCCAGCCAUGCCGCGUGUGUGAAGAAGGUCUUCGGAUUGUAAAGCACUUUAAGUUGGGAGGCGUUACCAACAGAAUAAGCACCGGCUAACUUCGUGCCAGCAGCCGCGGUAAUUC